rnacentral:misc_RNA from 1 species
UCUUGAUUGGAUGCUAUAUGGAAGUGAAAAUGCUGUCUGUGUAGAAGAUUGGAAAGCACAUACCGAGUACAAUGGCUACAAAGAAACCGAUCCUCUGAUAUCCUGGUUUUGGGAGAUUGUUGCGGAAAUGUCAGCAGAGCAGAGAAAGGUUCUUUUGUUCUUUUGGACAUCGGUGAAGUAUCUACCAGUCGAAGGUUUCCGCGGUUUGGCUUCAAAACUUUAUAUUUACAAGUCCUCAGAACCACACAAUCGCCUUCCUUCAUCUCACACAUGCUUUUAUCGGCUUUGUUUCCCACCAUAUUCCUCUAUGGANNNNNNNNNNNNNCAUGCAAGAUCGACUAAAUGUCAUCACCCGAGAACAUGUCGGCUGCAGCUUUGGUACUUGGUGAAAUAUUGGAGUUAGAUCUGCCUCUGGCAUAAAAAGGGUUUUAAAUUGCACAUAGAAAGAUUUGUACUCAGCUUGUACAGAUAGGAUCAUGUCAUCAGUUUUCAUUAGACUAUGUAAGAAGGUGCUUUAGUUAUUUAUGUAUCCUUUAAAAGGUUGUGACGUCAUUGCUCUUUUUUGGCUAAACUGUUUAUAUUGGCAUAGCUUAAAUGAUGGAGAGCAGAAGGAAUAAACAUCAACUUCCUUCCCUAGGAAUAGCAGCUGCUUUUUCAUGACCUGUAAGUACAGAGACUAUGCAAUGACGUCCAAAUCAAUAGA